rnacentral:rRNA from 2 species
GUGCUAUACAUGCAAGUCGAACGCGUUGGCCCAAUUGAUUGAUGGUGCUUGCACCUGAUUGAUUUUGGUCGCCAACGAGUGGCGGACGGGUGAGUAACACGUAGGUAACCUGCCCAGAAGCGGGGGACAACAUUUGGAAACAGAUGCUAAUACCGCAUAACAGCGUUGUUCGCAUGAACAACGCUUAAAAGAUGGCUUCUCGCUAUCACUUCUGGAUGGACCUGCGGUGCAUUAGCUUGUUGGUGGGGUAACGGCCUACCAAGGCGAUGAUGCAUAGCCGAGUUGAGAGACUGAUCGGCCACAAUGGGACUGAGACACGGCCCAUACUCCUACGGGAGGCAGCAGUAGGGAAUCUUCCACAAUGGGCGCAAGCCUGAUGGAGCAACACCGCGUGAGUGAAGAAGGGUUUCGGCUCGUAAAGCUCUGUUGUUAAAGAAGAACACGUAUGAGAGUAACUGUUCAUACGUUGACGGUAUUUAACCAGAAAGUCACGGCUAACUACGUGCCAGCAGCCGCGGUAAUACGUAGGUGGCAAGCGUUAUCCGGAUUUAUUGGGCGUAAAGAGAGUGCAGGCGGUUUUCUAAGUCUGAUGUGAAAGCCUUCGGCUUAACCGGAGAAGUGCAUCGGAAACUGGAUAACUUGAGUGCAGAAGAGGGUAGUGGAACUCCAUGUGUAGCGGUGGAAUGCGUAGAUAUAUGGAAGAACACCAGUGGCGAAGGCGGCUACCUGGUCUGCAACUGACGCUGAGACUCGAAAGCAUGGGUAGCGAACAGGAUUAGAUACCCUGGUAGUCCAUGCCGUAAACGAUGAGUGCUAGGUGUUGGAGGGUUUCCGCCCUUCAGUGCCGGAGCUAACGCAUUAAGCACUCCGCCUGGGGAGUACGACCGCAAGGUUGAAACUCAAAGGAAUUGACGGGGGCCCGCACAAGCGGUGGAGCAUGUGGUUUAAUUCGAAGCUACG